UCGGAGUUUUCGAAUUUUCGGAGAACGUUUGAUUUUUAGACGUCGGGUUCGUAUUGCAAUGGAAACCGCUAUCGGCAUGGAAAAUAAGUGCAAAAAUGCAUACCGGCAUUCAAAAUUCAAAACUGAGUUACAAAGUUAAAACGAAAUGAGUAAAAUACUAUGAACGACGGGGGCAUCCUUUUUUCCCCCGUGUGAUGAUAACUGUAUUGUC